rnacentral:rRNA from 1 species
GACGAACGCUGGCGGCGUGCCUAAUACAUGCAAGUUGAGCGCUGAAGGUUGGUACUUGUACCAACUGGAUGAGCAGCGAACGGGUGAGUAACGCGUGGGGAAUCUGCCUUUGAGCGGGGGACAACAUUUGGAAACGAAUGCUAAUACCGCAUAAAAACUUUAAACACAAGUUUUAAGUUUGAAAGAUGCAAUUGCAUCACUCAAAGAUGAUCCCGCGUUGUAUUAGCUAGUUGGUGAGGUAAAGGCUCACCAAGGCGAUGAUACAUAGCCGACCUGAGAGGGUGAGCGGCCACACUGGGACUGAGACACGGCCCAAACGCCUACGGGAGGCAGCAGUAGGGAAUCGUCGGCAAUGGACGAAAGUCUGACCGAGAAACGCCGCGUGAGGGAAGAAGGGUUUCGGAUCGUAAAACUCUGUUGGUAGAGAAGAACGUUGGUGAGAGUGGAAAGCUCAUCAAGUGACGGUAACUACCCAGAAAGGGACGGCUAACUACGUG